UUAAUGGAUCAGAAAAAAGAGGUCGGGGACUGAGAUUUCUUAAUUAAACAUGGACAAUGAGACACUACCCAGUUAUCUAAAUUGGAGUGCCAUAAAGGUUUUGCAGGUUUGGAAGUAUAAGGACUGUUGCAAAGGAAGCGUAUUUUGUGAUGAACUUGAUGAAAAGAUAAAUUUUGGCAAAGCGAGGGAAGAAGAGUCAAAGACUUCAUGGGGCAUGGGUCUUGCCAUUAGUGAGUCAGCGAGGUUGCGUGCUUCGUUUAUUAAGAAAAAAUGUUCUGGUCAAAAUAUCAAAUUCUUCCGCCAUCUGCUUCGAACUGCAAAUUCUGUGCUAUGAAAAGGAAUGACCAUACUCGUGCGAUUGAAAUGAUCCAAAAUGAUUCAGAGUUGUACAGUUUAGUUUUGGUGCUCUCACCUCUUUUUGAUGUUGAAGAGAGAUGUCCACGCUCUUCAAUUUGUAGGGGACAUGAUUUGGAAAUGAAAGCAUAUGACAUCUUAUAAGCAUGACAAGGUUGACAUGGAUAGUAGCGAGUCGUAUAAUUGCUACGCGAUACGUUGUACCCUUAAGGCACUUGGUAAGUCUUCAGAAGAUAAAAUUCUGGUCAUUUUUGGUUGCAAGAUGACACACGUACACAUAUGACAUACUUUGUAUCCUUUUUAAUAGCUACUCUUAUUUUAUUUUAUAAAUUGUUUUGUUAGUUGAUUCACUCUUUCCAAUCUACAUAUCAAGUUGUAAUAUAUUAAUAACAAAGAUUACAUAUAUGUUUUACGCAUUUCUUAGCUUUAAAAUUUUAAUUGAAAAA